UCCGGGGUAGCUCAAUUGGCAGAGCAAACGGCUGUUAACCGUUAGGUUCUCGGUUCGAGUCCGAGCCCCGGAGCCA
rnacentral:tRNA from 1 species